AUGGCCUCAAGCUCCGCCGCCGCCGCCGCUGCACCAGCCCUCAUUCCCAUCGCCGAACGCCUCCAUCGCUCCAACUUCCUGGUGUGGCGUGCUCAAGCCAUUGCUGCCAUCCGCGGUGCUCAGCUCGUCGCCUACAUCAACCCCGACAGAGAAGAGUCGGCGCCCAAGCUCAUGGACAAGGAGGGCAAGCCAACAGAUGCGCCCAAUCCGGCGUACGAGAUCGCCAGGGCGCAGGAUUCCCAGGUUCUGAGUUUUCUGUUCAAUUCAGUCUCACCUCCUGUGAUGAUCCAGAUCGCCCACUGCACCACGGCCUCGGCAACAUGGACUGCCAUCACGGAGAUGUUCAUCUCCAAAACCCAGGCUCACGUGGUGAACACGAGGAUCGCCCUGUCAAACACCAAGAAGGGCACAUCCACUAUCGCCGAGUACAUCGGCCGCAUGAAGGCGCUCGGAGACGAGCUAGCUUCCGUUGGGAAGCCCCUCACCGACGAUGACAUGGUGUCAUACAUACUUGCCGGCCUCGACUUCGACUACAUGGGCUUAGUCUCCUCCCUGUGUGCCAGGGCCGAGCCGAUCAAGGUGAACGAGCUCUACUCCCUCCUCGUCGGCUUCGAGAACAGGCUCGCCAUGUUUGAUGGCGGGCAUCAAUCCUCUCACUCCUCCGCCAACGCCGUCUCCCGUGGUGGUGGCCGUGGCGGACGAGGGGGUGGACGUGGAGGUGGCCGCAGAGGUGGAGGCGGCGGCCGCGGGCAAGGCCAUGGAGGUUGCGGCCAAGGAGGAGGCCGCAACGAUCUCCGUGAGGUCUUCUGUCAGAUCUGCUCCAAGCCCAACCAUGUUGCUAUGGAGUGCUACCGUCGCUUCGACAUCGCGUUCACCAAGGAGAAGAGCGCAGCGGCUGUCAACACCAACACCAGCUCCUACGGGGAGAGCGUGCGCGCGAGAGAGCGCUGCUCCCGUCUUCCAGCGAACCCCAAGGAGAGCAGAGGAGGAGAUGACCAAGGGCGAGGAUGUGUGGCAGCAGGUCGACAUCAUGGGCAACUACCAGGCCACCAGGGCAACCGCACCACGCCCUCCUACGUCGCCUUCACCGACACUGAACGCCUCACCAGCGACGCCGCCAAGAACCAGGUCGCAAUGAACCCCACCAACACCGUCUUCGGUUCGCCGCGGUUGAGUACUGGAGAUGGAGUGUGA
rnacentral:rRNA from 1 species